GGUAAAAAGGAGUACGAGGGGACAUUGGGAUGCGCGUGGAAAAACCGAAAAUGGGCACCGGAAGAACGCAUAGGAUGCUAAGAACAUGGGAUCGAAUAUGGGUCAAAUGGUCAUAACACUGUGCGAGGGACUUACUAUAUAAACCGCGCUGCGGAAAACAAAGGAGAGGCGCUAGUUUUGCUGUCGGAGAACGAAGGAAUUGGAGGCGAUGGAGACCUUCUGUUCAGGCAUGGAAAACAUCAGUAUAAAGCUCGCCAAUUUCUCCGGCGGACCACCGUGCCGCGAUCUCCAAACCCGCCUCGAUCUCGCUCUCGCUCUCCGUCUGAUCCCUCGCCGGGCGUCCAGGUCCCCCGUCGGUUUUCCGAGGUUCGUAUGCGCUUUGCCGCUGUUUGUUUCUGCGGAUUGAUCGACCCUGAAAGGAUUGCUCUGGAUUGGUUUGGUUCGUUUUUUGUGGUGUUGAUAGGAUAUCGAGGGUUUCCUUAGGGCCGUGAUCAAUCAUGUUUAGCUGGAUGCGCUGGCUUUUAAAGAAACUUAAUCUGGAGACCGACGCUCAGCGUCUGUCCACGACGAUGGACAAGUUGAACAUGGUACAGUUCCUGCGCUUGAUUUUGAGUUUUCUGCUUCUUUUUUUUUUCUUUUCAAUUGUUGAAGAAAUGGUUCUGGGUUUUAUUUUUUGGGAAAACCGACGAGCAGAUGUACUUCCUUGAGCUCCCAAUGGGGACCUGUGCCUGGGACUUUUGGGUCCAUUUGGUUCAAUUUUGAGAAAAUGGCUUUGCAUUCCUCAAAUAUCUUUGAAUGGAUGGGCAUUUUGUGAAAACUUUGAGAAAAUGGCUUUGCAUUCCUCGAAUAUCUUUGAAUGAAUGGUCAUUUUGCGAAGGCAAAGGCGUUUGGUGUAUAUUUUGCAAAGCAAUUUAAGGUGAAAAGAAAAAGAAAAGAAAAAAGGGAGGAGGAGAUGCAGCUGCGUGAAGAGGGGAAAAUCGUGGGGGAGGUGGCUCGAUAGUGGUG
rnacentral:lncRNA from 1 species